UGGCUGAGGAGAAGCUCCAGUCCUAACACAACACGCUGACAGCGCAGGAGCGCAGGGGAGGUGGAUCAGCAGACGCAAAUAAAACAAGAUCGCUGGACUAUUUACACUGGUUUCUUUACAUACUGUCUGACGUGAGCCCUCUUUUACAGUCUGUUAGGUUUUCUGGAGCACUUGUGCAGCUUAUAUUUGAGUAAAAGAGUGGUGUGAGGAGGAAACGCACAGCGCAGGCGCUUCACCUGGCUGGAGAGCUUACAGCAGAGGAGUGCAAGGGAAAGGGUGCUGUGCUGUCAGUGGGAUGGUAGAAGGGUGGAGUGGAGUCUAGCCUGAAGGAGCAUGGUGAAGCACCAACCCCUACAGGUCUAUGAGAGACAACUGUGCUUGUCCUGUCUAACAGGGAUCUACGGCUGCCGCUGGAAACGUUACCAGCGCUCACACGAUGACACCACAAAGUGGGAGUGUAUGUGGACCCUCAUCCUCUUUGGGACUUUCACUCUGCUGCUGUUCUGGUUUUACUUCUGGUGGGAAGCAAGCAAUGACUACAGUGAAUUUAACUGGUAUUUAUAUAACCGGUCAGGCGAGUGGAGUGAUGGAACUGUUCCCAUACUGGCCACAACAGCUGCAGGCUUCACCUAUAUUGCAUUUUUAAUGAUUUUAGCAUUAUGUCACAUCGCAGUUGGACAGCAGCUGAACCUGCACUGGAUCCAUAAGAUUGGAGUGACCGCAGCUUUACUGACCACCGUCAUCGGAGUGAUAUCCGUCAGCCAGAUAUGGAACGAAGAGUGGGAUAUCUUCUCAAUCUCUCUACGAGCAACAGGACCGUUUCUGCACAUCGGUGCUCUGGCUGCAGUUACAGCAUUGGCCUGGCUGGUGGCUGGACAAGUGGCUCGAUCUGAGAAGACCAAGUUUCAGGUAAUAGUUCUGCUCAUCUACCUGGUGGUGCUUCUGAGCCUCUACCUGACCCCGCUGUCCAUCACAUCGCCCUGCAUCAUGGAGCGACACGACCUUAAGGCACGGCCUGCUGUCAUCGGCCAGCGCGGAGCUCCCAUGCUGGCUCCGGAGAACACGCUGCUUUCUUUCCAGAGAGCUUUGCAGAAGAACGUCAGCGGGUUGGAGGCUGAGGUGGCUAUCAGUCUAGAUGGAGUCCCGUUCCUGAUGAGAGAUCGUACCCUGAAGAGAACCACAGAUGUGAGCAAAGUCUUUCCUGAGAGGCAGAAUGCUGACGCAUCGUUCUUCAACUGGACUGAACUGAGCAUGCUCAAUGCUGGCCAGUGGUUUCUAAAGGAUGACCCGUACUGGACGGUGCAGUACAUGUCUGAGCGAGAACGCUUGUUAGUGGGGAAUCAGACGGUGUGCAGUCUGGAACAGAUGCUACAACUGGCAGCCCGCUCCAACCGCUCAGCCCUGUUUACCCUCCGCAGACCUCCACCGGGGCAUCCACACAACCUGAGCUGGGUCAACCUCACCCUGGCCACCAUCCUGCACUCGGGCAUCCCUCAACACCUGGUGGUGUGGAGUGUGGACUGGGACAGAGAGCUGGUACGGCAGCAGGCUCCAGGCUUCCAGCAGAUCUCCACUAAGAUACAGACGCUGGAGAAUCUCCAUGAGAAAGGCAUCAGCAGAUUAUUGCUGCGCUACAACCAUGUCAGUGAUGAGGAUAUACGGAAGUACACAGCUGGUAAUGUGAGCGUGACUCUGUACACUGUGAACGAGCCAUGGUUGUACUCUGUACUCUGGUGCAGCGGCGUGCACUCCGUCUCCUCUGAAGCACCACAGAUCCUCAAGAAAAUUUUAUCACCUCUCUGGCUAAUGAGCCCACACGAGUACUGCUUGAUCUGGGUCGCUACAGAUCUCAUCUCUUUCGCUCUUGUCCUGGGGAUUUUUGUCUUUCAGAACUAUCACAUGAUCAGGUGGAGGAUGAGUGGCAUACGUAGCUACAACCCAGAGCAGAUAAUGCUGAGUGCUGCUGUCAGGAGGUCGAGCCGAGACGUCAACAUCAUGAAGGAGAAGCUCAUCUUCUCUGGUCAGCAACAGUAGCAGUUUAACCCCAGCUGUAACCCUCCAUCAUUUCAUCUUCAUCCUGCACCAUCCUGCACCAUCUCACUACAUCCCCCUCCAUGCUGCUCCUACCCGAACCAUCCUGCACCGUCCCUAACCAUCCUCCACCAUCCUGCAUCAUCUUUCAUCAUCCUGCUCCAUGCUGAUCCAUCCCAAACCAUCCUGCUCCAUCCUGCAUCAUCUUUCACCAUCCCGAACCAUCCUGCAUCAUCUUUCACCAUCUUGCUCCAUCCCUAACCAUCCUGCAUCACCUUCCCGAUCCAUCCUGAACCAACCCGAACCAUCCUGUAUCAUCCACCCUCUCACUGCCUCUCACUGCAUCCACCGCUCCAUGCUUCACCUCCAGUCAUAGCUCAUAAAUGGCUCUGGUUGUCAUGGCCAGUGCUCUCUUCAUGAGGUCAGCGAUGGGGUCAGCUGUGAGGAAAACGGGUUCGACUGCUACACCAAUCAGGACGUUCACUGACUCAGCGCUCCACACUGACGGGGUGAAAAAGUACGAUUUACGACUCGGCCAUACUGCCUGAACUGCUUUUAUUUCUUUUUAACGGCUCCGCACUCCCUCAGAGCUUCACCACAGUUUUCCAUUUUCAGUGUCUCUGUGAUCUCCGGAAUGUCUCUGUAUUGCUAAAGGAACAUCAGUGUAUAUUCUGUAUAGUUUUUUUUUUCUUUCUUUUUUUUUUGUACUGUAAAUUACUUGUAAAGAAUUAAGUGUGACCAGUCUGUGGCCCGGUGAGUGCUCAAGAUGACUGGAACGUGCACCAUUUUAUUUUGACUGCAAGCACAGCUGUAAUAAAACACGCCCUUCAUUUUGGAAAUGAACAACUGCAAUCAGGGUGUGAGGAAUAUUUCUAAACUUGCCUGCGUGUAUGUGCGUGGUUUAUGAUGUAUGUCAUGACUUACUCUGGGACACACUCUUGCCUUCUCUAAGUCCCGAAGCGACUUCCUGUGUGUUUACAGAGUGCCCGUCUUUCUCUUGACUGUAUGUGACUAUUUUCAUACACACCCAUUUAACAUUUUCAAGAAGAAUGAUUUUUAUAUUCGUGCGUUUUGCCUUGCAGUCGUUUAAAUAAAGGGUUAAACAUUUUUAAAUACACGCAGAGUAGUAAACAGGUUACAGUCGAUGUACUUGAGCUUGUAAAGGUUUGUUUUUACUCUGUGGUUAGACUGUAAAAGCAGGAAACCAUAAGAGCGAGUACAAGCCUUAAAGGAAAAAUCCACCCUGAAUGCCUUGCAUUAUUAUCCCUUUUUUUAUCUCAACCUAAAGAGAGCGCUGCAGCGGCGCUUUAGUCCUUUAGUCUGUCUAGCUCUCUCACCUCGUCAUCUGUACACUCUACUCACACAGAUCAGCUUCCAAAGCGCUCUAAGCUUCAUCGCGUGCGUCAUCUCGUAGAUCUCUAACUAGCUAAGCCGAGUCUCAACUGCACUGUCUAGUUGCACUGCAUCAUGGGAGUUUGAGUACAACGUUUGCAUCAACGUAUCCAUGACUUCUACUUUAGAUUUCUCAUGAAUAUAUGAAAUCACUGGAAAACGGUGAAUGAGAAAAGAGUUUGUUUUUAGGAGCGAACAGUGAAACCUGGACGUUAGCCCUUAAGUUUGAUUCCUAUUAAAUGUGUUUCAGGGUGGAGUUCUCCUUUAAUGUCGUUCUACACUGAAAGCGCUGAAGCUGAACGCGUCUCAGUGCCGUGUGCAGUACUACUGGAAAAUAUUUCCUGGCCUGGAAUCAAGACUGAGUGUUUAUAUUUAUAUAUUGUACAGUGAUUGUGUCACAUCAUCAUCAUCAUCAUCAUCGUCGUCGUCAUCAUCAUGGGCUCACUGUAUUUUAUUUGCUAUGAACAGUUUAUAAGUUAUGGCACCCGAAGACAUGUUAGGUGAAGCGUUUUAACAAAAAUUUCACGUUCACACAAGAGACAAUGAACAAAUUGUGUUAUUUUGUUUUUAUUUUGUAUGUGUUGCUCAAUGAAUAAAUAAAAAUAAUGUUAAAAAA